AGUGAACGCUGGCGGCAGGCCUAACACAUGCAAGUCGAACGGCAGCACAAGAGAGCUUGCUCUCUGGGUGGCGAGUGGCGGACGGGUGAGGAAUGCAUCGGAAUCUGCCCAUUUGUGGGGGAUAACCUCGGGAAACCGGGACUAAUACCGCAUACGACCUACGGGUGAAAGCAGGGGAUCUUCGGACCUUGCGCAGAUGGAUGAGCCGAUGCCGGAUUAGCUAGUUGGAGGGGUAAAGGCCCACCAAGGCGACGAUCCGUAGCUGGUCUGAGAGGAUGAUCAGCCACACUGGGACUGAGACACGGCCCAGACUCCUACGGGAGGCAGCAGUGGGGAAUAUUGGACAAUGGGCGCAAGCCUGAUCCAGCCACGCCGCGUGUGUGAAGAAGGCCUUCGGGUUGUAAAGCACUUUUGUUGGGAAAGAAAAGCAGCCGGUUAAUACCCGGUUGUCAUGACGGUACCCAAAGAAUAAGCACCGGCUAACUUCGUG
rnacentral:rRNA from 1 species